rnacentral:rRNA from 1 species
AUUGAACGCUGGCGGCGGGCCUAAAACAUGCAAGUCGAGCGGAGCGGCGGACGGGUGAGUAAUGCCUAGGAAUCUGCCUGUUAGUGGGGGAUAACGUCCGGGAACGGGCCCUUAUACCGCAUACUUUCAGGUGAGCCUAGGUCGUAUGAGCUAGUUGGUGGGGUAAAGGCCUACCAAGGCGAUGAUCCGUAACUGGUCUGAGAGGAUGAUCAGUCACACUGGGACUGAGACACGGUCCAGACUCCUACGGGAGGCAGCAGUGGGGAAUAUUGGACAAUGGACGAAAGCCUGAUCCAGCCAUGCCGCGGGUGUGAAGAAGGUCUUCGGAUUGUAAAGCACUGUAGGUUGAGAGGCGUUACCAACAGAAUAAGCACCGGCUAACUUCGUGCCAGCAGCCGCGGUAAUUC